rnacentral:rRNA from 1 species
CAGCCGCCGCGGUAAUACGUAGGGUGCGAGCGUUAAUCGGAUUUACUGGGCGUAAAGCGUGCGCAGGCGGCCCGUUAAGACAGGUGUGAAAUCCCUGGGCUCAACCUAGGAAUUGCGCUUGUGACUGGCGGGCUCGAGUACGGUAGAGGGGGGUGGAAUUCCUGGUGUAGCAGUGAAAUGCGUAGACAUCAGGAGGAACACCGAUGGCGAAGGCAGCCCCCUGGGCCUGUACUGACGCUCAUGCACGAAAGCGGGGGGAGCAAACAGGAUUAGAGACCCUGGUAGUCCACGCCCUAAACGAUGGGUACUAGCCGUUUGGUGCGCGAUAGCGCUGAGUGGCGAAGCUAACGCGUGAAGUACCCCGCCUGGGGAGUACGGCCGCAAGGUUGAAACUUAAAGGAAUUGGCGGG